rnacentral:rRNA from 1 species
GAUUAAGUUAUUAAGGGCGCACGGUGGAUGCCUUGGCACUAGAAGCCGAUGAAGGACGUUACUAACGACGAUAUGCUUUGGGGAGCUGUAAGUAAGCUUUGAUCCAGAGAUUUCCGAAUGGGGAAACCCAGCAUGAGUUAUGUCAUGUUAUCGAUAUGUGAAUACAUAGCAUAUCAGAAGGCACACCCGGAGAACUGAAACAUCUUAGUACCCGGAGGAAGAGAAAGAAAAUUCGAUUCCCUUAGUAGCGGCGAGCGAAACGGGAAGAGCCCAAACCAACAAGCUUGCUUGUUGGGGUUGUAGGACACUCUAUACGGAGUUACAAAGGACGACAUUAGACGAAUCAUCUGGAAAGAUGAAUCAAAGAAGGUAAUAAUCCUGUAGUCUAAAAUGUUGUCUCUCUUGAGUGGAUCCUGAGUACGACGGAGCACGUGAAAUUCCGUCGGAAUCUGGGAGGACCAUCUCCUAAGGCUAAAUACUCUCUAGUGACCGAUAGUGAACCAGUACCGUGAGGGAAAGGUGAAAAGCACCCCGGAAGGGGAGUGAAAUAGAACCUGAAACCGUGUGCUUACAAGUAGUCAGAGCCCGUUAAUGGGUGAUGGCGUGCCUUUUGUAGAAUGAACCGGCGAGUUACGAUUUGAUGCAAGGUUAAGCAGUAAAUGUGGAGCCGUAGCGAAAGCGAGUCUGAAUAGGGCGUUUAGUAUUUGGUCGUAGACCCGAAACCAGGUGAUCUACCCUUGGUCAGGUUGAAGUUCAGGUAACACUGAAUGGAGGACCGAACCGACUUACGUUGAAAAGUGAGCGGAUGAACUGAGGGUAGCGGAGAAAUUCCAAUCGAACCUGGAGAUAGCUGGUUCUCUCCGAAAUAGCUUUAGGGCUAGCCUCAAGUGAUGAUUAUUGGAGGUAGAGCACUGUUUGGACGAGGGGCCCCUCUCGGGUUACCGAAUUCAGACAAACUCCGAAUGCCAAUUAAUUUAACUUGGGAGUCAGAACAUGGGUGAUAAGGUCCGUGUUCGAAAGGGAAACAGCCCAGACCACCAGCUAAGGUCCCAAAAUAUAUGUUAAGUGGAAAAGGAUGUGGCGUUGCCCAGACAACUAGGAUGUUGGCUUAGAAGCAGCCAUCAUUUAAAGAGUGCGUAAUAGCUCACUAGUCGAGUGACACUGCGCCGAAAAUGUACCGGGGCUAAACAUAUUACCGAAGCUGUGGAUUGUCCUUUGGACAAUGGUAGGAGAGCGUUCUAAGGGCGUUGAAGCAUGAUCGUAAGGACAUGUGGAGCGCUUAGAAGUGAGAAUGCCGGUGUGAGUAGCGAAAGACGGGUGAGAAUCCCGUCCACCGAUUGACUAAGGUUUCCAGAGGAAGGCUCGUCCGCUCUGGGUUAGUCGGGUCCUAAGCUGAGGCCGACAGGCGUAGGCGAUGGAUAACAGGUUGAUAUUCCUGUACCACCUAUAAUCGUUUUAAUCGAUGGGGGGACGCAGUAGGAUAGGCGAAGCGUGCGAUUGGAUUGCACGUCUAAGCAGUAAGGCUGAGUAUUAGGCAAAUCCGGUACUCGUUAAGGCUGAGCUGUGAUGGGGAGAAGACAUUGUGUCUUCGAGUCGUUGAUUUCACACUGCCGAGAAAAGCCUCUAGAUAGAAAAUAGGUGCCCGUACCGCAAACCGACACAGGUAGUCAAGAUGAGAAUUCUAAGGUGAGCGAGCGAACUCUCGUUAAGGAACUCGGCAAAAUGACCCCGUAACUUCGGGAGAAGGGGUGCUCUUUAGGGUUAACGCCCAGAAGAGCCGCAGUGAAUAGGCCCAAGCGACUGUUUAUCAAAAACACAGGUCUCUGCUAAACCGUAAGGUGAUGUAUAGGGGCUGACGCCUGCCCGGUGCUGGAAGGUUAAGAGGAGUGGUUAGCUUCUGCGAAGCUACGAAUCGAAGCCCCAGUAAACGGCGGCCGUAACUAUAACGGUCCUAAGGUAGCGAAAUUCCUUGUCGGGUAAGUUCCGACCCGCACGAAAGGCGUAACGAUUUGGGCACUGUCUCAACGAGAGACUCGGUGAAAUCAUAGUACCUGUGAAGAUGCAGGUUACCCGCGACAGGACGGAAAGACCCCGUGGAGCUUUACUGUAGCCUGAUAUUGAAAUUCGGCACAGCUUGUACAGGAUAGGUAGGAGCCUUUGAAACGUGAGCGCUAGCUUACGUGGAGGCGCUGGUGGGAUACUACCCUAGCUGUGUUGGCUUUCUAACCCGCACCACUUAUCGUGGUGGGAGACAGUGUCAGGCGGGCAGUUUGACUGGGGCGGUCGCCUCCUAAAAGGUAACGGAGGCGCUCAAAGGUUCCCUCAGAAUGGUUGGAAAUCAUUCAUAGAGUGUAAAGGCAUAAGGGAGCUUGACUGCGAGACCUACAAGUCGAGCAGGGUCGAAAGACGGACUUAGUGAUCCGGUGGUUCCGCAUGGAAGGGCCAUCGCUCAACGGAUAAAAGCUACCCCGGGGAUAACAGGCUUAUCUCCCCCAAGAGUUCACAUCGACGGGGAGGUUUGGCACCUCGAUGUCGGCUCAUCGCAUCCUGGGGCUGUAGUCGGUCCCAAGGGUUGGGCUGUUCGCCCAUUAAAGCGGUACGCGAGCUGGGUUCAGAACGUCGUGAGACAGUUCGGUCCCUAUCCGUCGUGGGCGUAGGAAAUUUGAGAGGAGCUGUCCUUAGUACGAGAGGACCGGGAUGGACAUACCUCUGGUGUACCAGUUGUCGUGCCAACGGCAUAGCUGGGUAGCUAUGUGUGGACGGGAUAAGUGCUGAAAGCAUCUAAGCAUGAAGCCCCCCUCAAGAUGAGAUUUCCCAACUUCGGUUAUAAGAUCCCUCAAAGAUGAUGAGGUUAAUAGGUUCGAGGUGGAAGCAUGGUGACAUGUGGAGCUGACGAAUACUAAUCGAUCGAAGACUUAAUCAA